GACGAACGCUGGCGGCGUGCCUAAUACAUGCAAGUAGAACGCUGAAGGAGGAGCUUGCUUCUCUGGAUGAGUUGCGAACGGGUGAGUAACGCGUAUGUAACCUGCCUGGUAGCGGGGGAUAACUCUUGGAAACGAUAGCUAAUACCGCAUAAGAGUAGAUGUUGCAUGACAUUUGCUUAAAAGGUGCAAUUGCAUCACUACCAGAUGGACCUGCGUUGUAUUAGCUAGUUGGUGGGGUAACGGCUCACCAAGGCGACGAUACAUAGCCGACCUGAGAGGGGGAACGGCCACACUGGGACUGAGACACGGGCCAGACCCCUACGGGAGGCAGCAGGAGGGGAUCUUCGGCAAUGGACGGAAGGCUGACCGAGCCACGCCGCGGGAGGUAAGAAGGUUCUCCGAUUGUAAAGCUCCGUUGUAAGGGAAGAACCAGUGUGAGAGUGAAAAGUUCACAUUGUGACGGUACCUUACCAGAAAGGGACGGCUAACUACGUG
rnacentral:rRNA from 1 species